GGCUUCGGCUGCCAUGGCACGUUGGAGCUGAAUUGGAAGACGAAUAUCUUUCCUAAGAACAAAGUUUGUUUUAACGGGAUCUGUUGCUUCAUCAAGAAUCAACUGUUUCGAUGAGAACAAAUGCAAUUAUUUAUUAAUUUUGGACUUGCUUCCAGCAGAACGGUACCUGGAGUGAAAUAAAAUAUGAUUUGAAUCUGCAAGCAAAAAGGAGUCGUACUAUAAAAUUGGAAAAGUUGUCAAUUUCGAGAAUUACUUCUUGUGGUGGAACAUCAAAUGAAACAGUACGCAGAUCAAUCUUGGAAUACGCAUCAA